UAAUCACAGCCAAAGACAACCACCCUGGUACUACACACUCUUAUGCCCAGUGUGUCGUCACUGCUGUCGUCAUACAGUACGUUCAGUUCGUGUUUGCGACGGUAUCUAUAAGAAUGAGAUGAUUGGUGGAUGCUUUCCUUGCCGACCUGCGAUUGCGAUAAUCCGUACUUUAUUUUUGUUUCACAACGUGUAUGUAUUAAUGGGUUGUUGCGCCCAUUCUGCGAUUGUUUUUACUCGAGUUUCCAAAGCUGACAGCAGCCAUUUUGGUCGAGAGGAGGGUUGUUGUGGUUGCAGCAGCUAACAGGUGAGCAGCAGCUAACACAGGUGAGCACAAUCACGGCUAUAGCGCCUCCCCUUAUAGUCGUUAGGUGAAAGAAAGUACUACAGGCGAGAUCAGUGUGCAGUAAAGAAGGAUUAUGCACAGACUACAGGUGCCAGAACCCCACUACAGUGGACAAUUGCCGAACUGUAGUUUCUAAUAAAAUACUGUGAAGUUCCGGAUCUGUGUCUGGCCUCGGUGUGACGGGUGAACACACGUGUUACAGCCAGCAAAACACAUUUCUGUUGCUUCACCUCUCCAAACCAGCCACUCUGCAUGACUGCACAUGUAAAGUUAUGUAACACUCUCUGGAUGGAGGACCAGGUUGUAAAUCGCUCCUUCAGCAUCCUUUACUCCACACACACCAUCUUGUAGAAAUGAAGACCUACAUCACAUCUGACUCCAACAGCGUUUGUUGACCUCAGGAAAGAUGAAUCAACUCUGCUGGUUUCUCUGGGAUGUUCAGCUAAAGAAAACAGGUAUAUGUACAGUACAGUAGGAACUCUAGGCCUUUAGUCAUAAAAUGUUUCUAGUUACAAUGGUCCAAUCUGAUUGACAAAUGAAAAUGUCUCCAGUAAUAAAUGAGUGUAGAUACAUUUAAAAAAUAAUUCAAAUAUUGAAUUACAAUUCAGCAACAUUGUUAAAUUAGUUUUUCUUUUUUCAAAACUCAACCUCAUCAGCAGCUUGAUACAGAACCAUGAAGUCCCUUUGCCAGUGUCUCUGAUGUCAGUGGACAAUCUGCACUUACUGUUAGCACUGGAGGUUCAUGCCAAGACAAAUGUCACCCUGGGCCUCCCUGUUUGGUCUCAGCUUUGGGUCAUGAGUUUGUUUUAGCGGAAUGCACUACAGUGAAAAUCCCUUGUCGUUUUUGUGUGUGUCAGCUCUGGGAAAAGGUUUGGUUCCCAGACAGAACUGGGUUCUUACAGUAAUCGAUGACCUUUUCUCUGAGAGCUGGAUCAACUGCGUGGUAAGAACUGCAAAGAACAACUCGGUUAGCCAUUCCUACGUUUUUAUCUUUGAAUAAACCAUGAAAGGCUGUGUAUGCGUUAUAUCAUACCAGUUUGAAACAGGAACAGUGAUUCAAGUCUCUCUCUUUUUUAUUUUUUUUUACCGGGUAACGAUGACGAUUUUUCUGUGAGCACAUUUUACUCUGUAAUAAUAUUGUCCAUUAUCCAACUGUUUUUUUUUUUUUAAUUCACUUAUGUCAUCAUGAUAUUCGAAAACAAACUCAAUUUCUUUGGGGUAAUUUGUAGUACAUGGUCACCAGUCAGGAUAGUGGUUGGAUGUCUGUUUACAAAUGUAGUUACAUUUAAAAUGACAUUCAGACAACCAGUCUGACCAUUGUCUGGAGGAGGGGUGAAGAAAAAAAAAGUUGUUUCUGUCUCUCUGAGAACCAUAAAUUAUGUUUUGGGAGUGGUGGUUGGAGUGUGACGUCUGAACCAACCAACCCACUCACUUGUGGUGUUGUCUUUUUGGAAUGAGCAGAGGACAGUGUAAGCAGAUCAGAUUGCUCACAGGCCUGUGAAGGCAUCGUGAUGACAGACCUGUGGACUUGGAUUGACUUUCAUGUGGAAGAACACACUAUGCUGCCUCAGCAAAGAUGCUUCCUCGCCCCCUUCACAUGUGUCACAGUGGAGGUACUCAACCACAGCACAGCUGUCACCACUGAAGUCUGUCAGAAACCAACACUUCAACUGUCGUUGAUACAAAUAUUUACAGAUGUAUUUAUUAGGAUAAUCUUAUAUUUAUGGGCUCUAGGUGGUGCUGUCCACUAGUUUGAACCCAGCUGGUUUGGAGUUUGCAUGUUUACUCCAUGUGUGAGAUGGUUUACUCUCAGUCUAAAAACACGCCAUUUGUUUAUUUGCACUUUACCUUGAUUGUACACAAGUCCACGACUGGGUUUAGACUGUUUCCAUUCUCUAAGACUAGAAACAUUGUCUAUUCCAUGUUCUUACGAAAUCAAAAUGUGUGUAAAAACGUGUUCUACCAGAGGUAAAACUCCUGAACCGAACACUGCAAAAAGACAUUUCUUCACUAUAUAAAAAAAAGAAAAUCCCACU